rnacentral:rRNA from 1 species
AAUGAACGCUGGCGGCGCGCCUAAUACAUGCAAGUCGAGCGAGAAGACGUAGCAAUACGUUUGUAAAGCGGCGAACGGGUGAGGAAUACAUGGGUAACCUACCCUCGAGUGGGGAAUAACUAGCCGAAAGGUUAGCUAAUACCGCGUACGCUUCUUGGACUUCGGUUCAGGGAGGAAAGCGAUACCGUGGGUAUCGCGCUCUUGGAUGGGCUCAUGUCCUAUCAGCUUGUUGGUGAGGUAACGGCUCACCAAGGCUUCGACGGGUAGCUGGUCUGAGAGGACGAUCAGCCACACUGGCACUGCGACACGGGCCAGACUCCUACGGGAGGCAGCAGUAAGGAAUAUUGCGCAAUGGGCGAAAGCCUGACGCAGCGACGCCGCGUGGGGGAUGAAGGUCUUCGGAUUGUAAACCCCUUUCGGGAGGGAAGAUGGAACGAGCAAUCGUUCGGACGGUACCUCCAGAAGCAGCCACGGCUAACUUCGUGCCAGCAGCCGCAGUAAU